rnacentral:rRNA from 1 species
AGAGUUUGAUCCUGGCUCAGAUUGAACGCUGGCGGCAUGCUUUACACAUGCAAGUCGAACGGCAGCACGGGAGCAAUCCUGGUGGCGAGUGGCGAACGGGUGAGUAAUACAUCGGAACGUGCCCAGUAGUGGGGGAUAGCCCGGCGAAAGCCGGAUUAAUACCGCAUAUGCCCUGAGGGGGAAAGCGGGGGACCGAAAGGCCUCGCGCUAUUGGAGCGGCCGAUGGCUGAUUAGCUAGUUGGUGGGGUAAAGGCCUACCAAGGCGACGAUCAGUAGCUGGUCUGAGAGGACGACCAGCCACACUGGGACUGAGACACGGCCCAGACUCCUACGGGAGGCAGCAGUGGGGAAUUUUGGACAAUGGGCGCAAGCCUGAUCCAGCAAUGCCGCGUGUGCGAAGAAGGCCUUCGGGUUGUAAAGCACUUUUGUUUGGAAAGAAAAGGUCAGCGCUAAUACCGCUGGCUGAUGACGGUACCAAUCGAAUAAGCACCGGCUAACUACGUGCCAGCAGCCGCGGUAAUACGUAGGGUGCAAGCGUUAAUCGGAAUUACUGGGCGUAAAGCGUGCGCAGGCGGUUGUGUAAGACAGAUGUGAAAUCCCCGGGCUUAACCUGGGAAUUGCAUUUGUGACUGCACGGCUAGAGUGCGUCAGAGGGGGGUGGAAUUCCACGUGUAGCAGUGAAAUGCGUAGAUAUGUGGAGGAACACCAAUGGCGAAGGCAGCCCCCUGGGAUGACACUGACGCUCAUGCACGAAAGCGUGGGGAGCA